rnacentral:lncRNA from 1 species
CAUGCCGUCAGUCACGUCAGUCAUCGGUCUUGGCUAUCUGUAAGGAUCUUGGCAGGAAUCUUGGCCUUUUCUUGGACCCAUAGCCUCGGCCUUCGACCAAUCAUAUCGCCGAAUUCGCAAGCGGUGAGAGACAAAUACGGCGUGCCAAAGACAUAUUGGGUGUCUCAAAAUCACUGAGAACUCUGUAGCUCAAAACUUAAGCCCUGCACUCUUUUAGAUCUACCCCGUUGAGUGGCAUUCUUGUGAAAAUUAUGUAAAGAUAUUUAUCAGAAUAAGGUAGAAGUGUAGGGGGUGGCAGGUGAGGUGCAGAAGAAGAAGAAGAAGAAGAAGUUGUACCUAUCCAGUAAUUUUAUCUUGAUUUGUGGACUAGACGAAGACUAGAUUUUGAUGAAGAAAUCGACAAACUUGAACUGCAGGACUCGUGGCGCUGCUCGCCUCCUCGCCAAUGCGAAUGCGUUCUCUGAGGACAACCCGCCCAAGGCUACCAUGGCGAAGCCACGCCACCGCGCCGGCUAUAGACUCACGGCCUGAAGCGAGUUUGGGCGCGACGGCUGGCGAGCCAAGGCGGCGGAAAGUCGUCUGGCGGAGCUCCCGUCUGAGGCGAGCUUGAUCUGGUCAGACAGCUCCGCCACCGAUGGUGUGCUAGAUGGAGGAGGAGGGGCCACCCCCCCCCCGAACCGCGACAUCCGAGAGGUGCGUGUCGCGGCAGGCGCCCUCUGCUCUAGCACGCGCGGCGAGCUAUUCGCCCCGCUGAUGGAGGGGCGUCCCCCGCCGCCGGUUCGUGGACCCAACAGGCUGGACGCAGUGGAGACCCACCAACUACGAGCAGGACACUGGUCCGGGUCAGCCCAGUACCUGCACAGAAUCGGGCGGCACCCAUCGCCGGAGUGCGCCCAGUGCAGUGAUCGGGGAUGCCGGGCAGGAUGGUGCCGCGCCUGCGGCGAAGAGGCCGACACCCCGGACCAUGUCCUUCUGCGGUGCCCGGCGCUGAUGAACGCCCGGCUCCGCAUCUUCGGCACCAUCUUCCCGAGCCUGAGCGACGUGCGACGAGACGACGCGGUGGCGGCCCUGGCGAGGGUCGCCAGGUACCUCCAGAGCCGUUAAGGCUACAGCUCACCAGAGCCUGGAGGGACAGCACAACAACAACAACAGCUAUUCGCCCUAAGAGCGGUGUUGGAGGAGCUGGCCGGACGGAUGGUACCGGUCGAUAUGGGUCGACCGCCGUCUAUCCGGUCCAUUCUGCUGUUCCAGCUCCAGGACCGGCCGCGCCGUCGCCACCCGUCCGGCGUCAGUGGAGGACCGCUCAUCAGCUGUCGAUUUUCAUCAGUUUCGCUUGGACCACUGGUCGGGCUCCUGCCAGUGCCGACAUUGGGUUGGGCGGAGUCCUACCGAUGAAUGCCGCGAGUGCUGCAACAUUGGCUCGGUACAUCUCGGUACAUUUUCCCGAGUCUGGUGUGGCUACGGGGAGACGGAUUUGGUGACCCUGGCUGCCGCCGUGAGAACCAUCCAGAACCGUACGGCUAUGCUGCGGCAGCAGCUGAAAGGAACGCAACAACAAUAACUACAACAGCAGCUGCUAAUGAAAGGGGAAAUCAUGGAGCCGGAUGACCCGGCACAUGGCGCUCAGCCAGCUGAGAAUGAGAGCAGCUAUCAAAUCGCCAGCAGGGUGCUGCGGCUGGUAACUGACGACCUUAACAGAGAGAGCGCCUCCGCUGAUGCGGAUGAAACUACCCCCUCUCGGGUUUGUUUGACGCCGUCUCCGUCGACUCUUUCGCCUGGGCCGGCUGGCGACCGCGACAUUUCUUGUGCAGUGACUCGUAACUAUGUUCACCAAACUUUUAAAACUCCUCACGUUAGCAUCUUUAAAGAAUGUUUCCCUUGUACACUGCUGCAAUGUCUUAUGUAGGCAUAUUGUAGGUACAGUCUAAACGAGUGUGGAAUGCUUUGUUGUGCUUGCUUGUUCUGUAUUUCGUUUGCUAUUUAUCACGGUGACUAUAAUUUAUUUUGACCAACCCUUGCCUUGUUGCAAUUUUAGUGGAUGGUUUCUGAACUGCUGUUUGCAUUAUAGAUGUUGCUAGUGCGUAGACGCCAAAGAUUACUUUAUACCUAUUGACGCGCCAGAUAAAGGAGGUGAAGUAUUCCUCUGAUCUCUACCUACGAAAUUCCUUUAUGUGUGUUUUGUAAUCGAUAUUGGCGGUUUUCUUAUGUGAUGCGGUGUAGAGCGUGGCUGAGGAAGGCGAUGUUUAAAGUUGCUAGUUAUUUUUCAAUACAUCUAUGAUCGGAC